GCCGAUUUAGCUCAGGGGUAGAGCAACCGCCUUGUAAGCGGUAGGUCGUCAGUUCGAAUCCGACAAUCGGCACCA
rnacentral:tRNA from 2 species